rnacentral:rRNA from 1 species
UACGGAGGGUGCAAGCGUUAUCCGGAUUCACUGGGUUUAAAGGGUGUGUAGGCGGGUAUUUAAGUCAGUGGUGAAAUCUCCAGGCUCAACCUGGAAACUGCCAUUGAUACUAUUUAUCUUGAAUAUCGUUGAGGUUGGCGGAAUAUAUCAUGUAGCGGUGAAAUGCAUAGAUAUGAUAUAGAACACCGAUUGCGAAGGCAGCUAACUAAGCGAUGAUUGACGCUGAGGCACGAAAGCGUGGGGAUCAAACAGG